UACGUAGGGUGCUAGCGUUAUCCGGAUUUACUGGGCGUAAAGGGUGCGUAGGCGGAUAAGCAAGUUAGAAGUGAAAUCCUAUAGCUCAACUAUAGUAAGCUUUUAAAACUGCUCAUCUUGAGGUAUGGAAGGGAAAGUGGAAUUCCUAGUGUAGCGGUGAAAUGCGUAGAUAUUGAGAAGAACACCAGUAGCGAAGGCGGCUUUCUGGACUGUAACUGACACUGAGGCACGAAAGCGUGGGUAGCAAACAGG
rnacentral:rRNA from 1 species